UUCUUGAGUAAUUAGAGUAUGUAUAUGUUAGAAUCUCUUAGUUAUACUCUUGAUUGUAAGCCUAUGAUGCUUCUUUGAGUGAUUUGAGUAGAGAAUCUGUGUGAUUCAUGUGAUCAGUAUGAGUUGGUGAUAGAACUGAGUGCUCUGUCGUGAUUCUUGGUUAGAGGGUGCUUCGAUUCAAAGUUUUGUUUAAAGAUAAGUCUCUAUUACUUCAUCUUGUAUUUUGAACUAAUUGUAUUUAUUUGCUGUCAUAUUUUUUGCUUAUAGUGCAACUGAACUUUAUCCAUUUAUAAUGGAGCUCAAUAGGGGAUUAAACGUUAAAAGCGGUCACUG
rnacentral:lncRNA from 1 species